CUACGGGACGCUGCAGUGGGGAAUAUUGGACAAUGGGGGAAACCCUGAUCCAGCAAUGCCGCGUGUGUGAAGAAGGCCUGCGGGUUGUAAAGCACUUUCGGUUGGGAGGACUGCUUCUAGCACUAAUAUUGUUGGAAGUUGACGUUACCUUCAGAAGAAGCACCGGCUAACUCCGUGCCAGCAGCCGCGGCAAUACGGAGGGUGCAAGCGUUAAUCGGAAUUACUGGGCGUAAAGCGCGCGUAGGCGGCUAGAUCAGUCGGGUGUGAAAGCCCCGGGCUUAACCUGGGACCUGCAUCCGAUACUGUCGAGCUUGAGUACAGGAGAGGAGAGUGGAAUUCCACAUGUAGCGGUGAAAUGCGUAGAUAUGUGGAGGAACACCAAUGGCGAAGGCAGCUCUCUGGCCUGAUACUGACGCUGAGGUGCGAAAGCGUGGGGAGCAAACAGGAUUAGAUACCCCUGUAGUC
rnacentral:rRNA from 1 species